GACGAACGCUGGCGGCGUGCUUAACACAUGCAAGUCGAACGGAAAGGCCCUGCUUUUGUGGGGUGCUCGAGUGGCGAACGGGUGAGUAACACGUGAGUAACCUGCCCUUGACUUUGGGAUAACUUCAGGAAACUGGGGCUAAUACCGGAUAGGAGCUCCUGCUGCAUGGUGGGGGUUGGAAAGUUUCGGCGGUUGGGGAUGGACUCGCGGCUUAUCAGCUUGUUGGUGGGGUAGUGGCUUUACCAAGGCUUUUGACGGGUAGCCCGGCCUGAGAGGGUGACCCGGGCCCACAUUUGGGGAACU
rnacentral:rRNA from 1 species